rnacentral:rRNA from 1 species
AUGGCGGCAGUAGCAGGAGCUCUUCUCCCGCCGCUGCUACCGACGCCGCCCAGGAGCGAGAUGCUGCCGAUCCUCCCGACGCCGCCCAAGAGCAAGAUGCUGCCGCUGUUGCCGACGCCGCACGGUGUCGUCCUCACCAUGCUGGUGUCCGCCAUGCAUGGCCGUGCCGACUUCGUCCAGAGGUGGGACUGGAACAAGACGGGCAAAAAGCCAUGCAGCUCCAUCUGCUCCUCCUCGUCAUCGUCGGGCAGCGAGAGCACCGGUCGUGCCGACUCCGUCGACAGGUGGGACUCGGACAAGAAAUACAGGAAGCCCCGCACCACCGUGUCGUCGUCGUCGUCCUCCUCCUCCUCCUCUUACAGCGCCGGGAGUCCCGGACGAGCCGACUCCGUUGAACGCUGGGACAGCAAGAAACUCGCGAGCUCAUGCAGCGCGUCCCAGCCCACAUGUCGCGGCCGCCAUGACGGCAACACCAAGCGCCUGCCUAGCCCUGGCCCUGGCCGCGCGUCCUCAGCAGAGCGCUGGGACUUGCACAAGAAGCCUCGCCCGGAGCACAUGCCUCAGACUAACGCGACGGCCACGGCACCGCAGAAGGCC